rnacentral:rRNA from 1 species
CACCGGCAGCUCAAGUGGUGGCCGUUUUUAUUGGGCCUAAAGCGUUCGUAGCCGGCCUGAUAAGUCUCUGGUGAAAUCCCAUAGCUUAACUGUGGGAAUUGCUGGAGAUACUAUUAGGCUUGAGAUCGGGAGAGGUUAGGGGUACUCCCAGGGUAGGGGUGAAAUCCUAUAAUCCUGGGAGGACCACCUGUGGCGAAGGCGCCUAACUGGAACGAAUCUGACGGUGAGUAACGAAAGCCAGGGGCGCGAACCGG